UCCCGGGUCGUCUAAUCGGCAGGACGGCGGCUUUUGGUGCCGCUUGUAGGGGUUCGAAUCCUCUCCCGGGAG
rnacentral:tRNA from 1 species